AGAGUUUGAUCCUGGCUCAGAAUCAACGCUGGCGGCGUGCCUCAGACAUGCAAGUCGAACGAUUAAAGCUCUCUUCGGAGAGUGCAUAGAGUGGCGCACGGGUGAGUAACACGUAAGUAAUCUACCCUCGAGUGGGGAAUAACGUCCGGAAACGGGCGCUAAUACCGCAUAAUGCAGCGGCAUCAUAAGAUGACAGUUGUUAAAGAUCUAUCGCUUGAGGAGGAGCUUGCGGCAGAUUAGCUAGUUGGUAAGGUAACGGCUUACCAAGGCUACGAUCUGUAACCGGUCUUAGAGGACGGUCGGUCACACUGACACUGAAUAACGGGUCAGACUCCUACGGGAGGCAGCAGUCGGGAAUUUUGGGCAAUGGGCGAAAGCCUGACCCAGCAACGCCGCGUGAAGGAUGAAGUAUUUCGGUAUGUAAACUUCGAAAGAAUAGGAAGAAUUAAUGACGGUACUAUUUAUAAGGUCCGGCUAACUACGUGCCAGCAGCCGCGGUAAUACGUAGGGACCAAGCGUUGUUCGGAUUUACUGGGCGUAAAGGGCGCGUAGGCGGCAUGACAAGUCACUUGUGAAAUCUCCGGGCUUAACUCGGAACGGCCAAGUGAUACUGUCACGCUAGAGUAUUGGAGGGGCAAUCGGAAUUCUUGGUGUAGCGGUGAAAUGCGUAGAUAUCAAGAGGAACACCUGAGGUGAAGACGGGUUGCUGGCCAAAUACUGACGCUGAGGCGCGAAAGCCAGGGGAGCAAACGGGAUUAGAUACCCCGGUAGUCCUGGCCCUAAACGAUGAAUACUUGGUG
rnacentral:rRNA from 1 species